UUUUCAUAUGCAGUCAGUGCCUCUCUGGAAUACACAUUAACAUUCCUUGGUUAUGGAAGAUGGCAAAAUAGUUUUAUUUUGAUUAAUACUUUACUCCAGAGAUAUGCCAUUCUGUGAGAUAACGUACAUAAACUUCACUUAAAUCAACUUCACAGUUUCUCCCCGCAGCUAAAAUUCAACCAAAGAAAACCAAACAGCCAUAGUUCUGUGGCAAAAUAGUGACAUUUUCCAAUACAAUGACCAAGGAAAAAAAAACACUUCGAUUUCUGUAAUUUUUAUUUUUAAUACUGCUUAAUUCACUAUUUCUCUGCAGUUGACUGAGCAAUAGUACCCUCACCUUUUGACCCAUUCUCUAGCUGCUAUUUGAAUUUCUGCUGAUUCUCUGCUAUUUUCCUCUCUGCCAUAGUAGGAAGCUUGACGUCCUUUGUUGCUGGUAUCAAAUUAGAAUAUCCUUUUGUUGUCACCCUUGCCAGAAUGUUGCAUGCUGACUGCUGCUCUCUGUUGUUUCAGUCCUCUCAGUAAUUUGCAUUGCUUUAAUUUGCUAAACUAGAAAGCAUUAAUUUGGCUUUUCAAUGGCUCUCUUUUGUUAUUUGUUGUUAUCUGUUAAUUAACUCUGUUUAUGGCUUUACAGCAGGCUCUUCCUCAGAUUGGUUAACAGGAAACUUUUGUUCCUUUAAAGGAGCAGAGGAACUGCCUUCAUUUAAUUGAGAUUUGGCAUUUAUCUGUUGCCGUGACCUGGGCAUUUUGAGCAAUGUACUGAGCAUAGUGGCUUUGCAGCCGGAAACCAAACACCCAUCUACCAACCUACCUACCAACCUGUGUACCUACCUAUGUACCUACUGAACAACUGAUCAACCAACAGACCAACCAAUGGACCAGUGGACCAACCUACCAACCUACCUAAACGGAGCCAGUGAGCAAUAUGCUUCUUGGAUGAGCUUCACCAACAGUCAAAUAUCUCCACAAAUGCACUUUUUGGGGUAAAAAAGUAGUAUUGUGAAAGCAGAGCAGUAAAGGUCCCACGUUAUCAACUGCACCUGUAUAACAACAGCAGCUGAACUGCAGAGGCUGGGCAGAGAAUUUAACGUUAUUCCUCAGAAAGUCUGCCACUUCAUUUCCAAUGGCAAAUGUAAGUCAACAAAAACAUCAUGGGAAUUCCAUAGCAACUCGACAGGAAAUGCAAAAUGAAUUGCAUUUUGGAUUAGGAAGAAACAUCUCAGAAG